rnacentral:piRNA from 1 species
UUUGAUAAAAUGUCACGACAACAGAGUGGA